rnacentral:pre_miRNA from 1 species
UACCAAAGUAAAUUAACAUAUUCAUUUUGUAUAAUUGCGAUUGUUCCCUGAAUCAUGUUAGUCAGAUUUCGGGAAACGUUAUCUAAGUAAUUAUAUGAUGAAGAUGUUUUCAAAUGAAACUUAAGUC